GUGUGGAUGAAGAUGGUUUAAAUGACUCAUUAGGGACACCAUGGCUGUGCUCUCCAUCAUAUGUUGCAACAAGGAUAGACCUAUCAUGUAUGCAUUUUUGCACCUAAAAAAUUAGUAAAUGAAGUAAGGUUAGAAUCUCUUUAAACCACAAUUUUUUCAUAGAAUCAUUCAUAAAAACAUAACCUUGUAACCUUUCUAGAAAUCAUAUACAUAUAUUCACAUGAAUUAUGUAAUAAAUAAAUUUACAAUAUUUUUAUAUAUACCUUCUUUUUUGCUGGGCAACUAGGAGCCAUGGAGCACCUAAAGUAAGCUCUAGGAGAAGCAUUGUCUUUGGUAACCUUUUGACCAUACUUCCUCCAUUGAUAGCCAUCUUUUAUUAUCUAUAUAUUAAAAAAAGCAAUAAUUGAUAUUAAAAAAAAUGUAAUUUGAGACUCAAAAUAUCAACAAUUAAUUGAUUAUUUUUGUCAAUGAGUGAUAUGAUUUUAUGUAUUCUUUGAAGUGAUUUGCUCAAAUUUUGUGAUAAUUUGAGAUUAAUCAAUUAAUUUGAUACACAACAAAUUAGUGAUAAUGAAGCAUACCAAACUUUCAUCAUUAGGUUGAGUUCGUACAAAGACUUGUAGAGGCUUUUGUGCUGUGG
rnacentral:lncRNA from 1 species